UACGGAGGGUGCAAGCGUUGUUCGGAAUCAUUUGGCGUAAAGCGCGUGUAGGCGGCUUGGCAAGUCGGUUGUGAAAGCCCGGGGCCCAACCCCGGAACUGCAUCCGAAACUGCCUGGCUAGAGUCCCGGAGAGGAAGGCAGAAUUCCCGGUGUAGGGGUGAAAUCCGUAGAUAUCGGGAGGAAUACCAGCGGCGAAGGCGGCCUUCUGGACGGUGACUGACGCUGAGACGCGAAAGCGUGGGGAGCAAACAGG
rnacentral:rRNA from 1 species